rnacentral:rRNA from 1 species
AUUGAACGCUGGCGGCAUGCCUUACACAUGCAAGUCGAACGGCAGCACGGGAGCAAUCCUGGUGGCGAGUGGCGAACGGGUGAGUAACAUAUCGGAACGUGCCCAGUCGUGGGGAUAACGUAGCGAAAGCUACGCUAAUACCGCAUACGAUCUAUGGAUGAAAGCGGGGGAUCGCAAGACCUCGCGCGAUUGGAGCGGCCGAUAUCAGAUUAGGUAGUUGGUGAGGUAAAGGCUCACCAAGCCGACGAUCUGUAGCUGGUCUGAGAGGACGACCAGCCACACUGGGACUGAGACACGGCCCAGACUCCUACGGGAGGCAGCAGUGGGGAAUUUUGGGACAAUGGGCGCAAGCCUGAUCCAGCAAUGCCGCGUGCAGGAUGAAGGCCUGGUGUAACU